rnacentral:rRNA from 1 species
CCUACGGGUGGCAGCAGUAGGGAAUAUUGCUCAAUGGGGGAGACCCUGAAGCAGCAACGCCGCGUGGAGGAUGAAGGUUUUCGGAUUGUAAACUCCUUUUGUUAGAGAAGAUAAUGACGGUAUCUAACGAAUAAGCACCGGCUAACUCCGUGCCAGCAGCCGCGGUAAUACGGAGGGUGCAAGCGUUACUCGGAAUCACUGGGCGUAAAGGGCGAGUAGGCGGGAUAGCAAGUCAGAUGUGAAAUCCUAUGGCUUAACCAUAGAACUGCAUUUGAAACUGUUAUUCUAGAGUAUGGGAGAGGUAGGUGGAAUGCUUGGUGUAGGGGUAAAAUCCGUAGAGAUCAAGAGGAAUACUCAUUGCGAAGGCGACCUGCCAGAACAUAACUGACGCUGAUGCGCGAAAGCGUGGGGAGCAAACAGGAUUAGAUACCCGUGUAGUC